AGUCCUAAAUAAUAUGAUACGAUAAUUUGGCAACCAAAAAACCCAUCCCCAUGUUGAUAAUUCAUAGCGUGUCGUUAAAAUUUACCCAAAAACACGACAAAAUACUCGGCGUGUAAAAUACACGGUAUUUCACGUUUAGCGUGAGCUGGAAAACCCGGGAAAUGUCAUCAUCAUUUCCGUCCGGGUGCGAAUAAAAAAAACGAUCGCCACGAGAGCGAAGUGUAGCGCGGUAGUGUUUCACACAGGAAAAUCGGAGGAAAAUCGGAGGAAAACCGCAAACGACAGCUCCUCAGCACUGAAAGGAAAAGCUCCGACAAGGCGCAUACCAGCCACGCGGCACGUGCUCGCGGAAGAAGCGUAGAGGGCAGAGCCCCACUGGAAGGUGCACACACGCCCACCUAAAAGGGUAAAUUCGAGCUCAAGACUGCGGAAAAGAAAAAGAAGAACAAGAGGGUCGCUCAGGCGGCCUUCUUUUAUCCACCAUCAAGCACCUUCGAGGUUUCCAUCGAUUCCUGCAACUUUUGCCGGAGGAAAGGUGGCAUUUAGCCAUUCAGCAUCUCCGGAACUCUCGGCUACAACUGCCAGCCUCGCCUCGGCCACAACGUGCCCGCGCUGGCAACUUCAAAGGUGGCAAUUAGCCAUUUAACAUCACCGGGAGUCUCGGCUACAACUGCCUGCCUUCUCUCGGCUAGAACGCACUCGCGGUGCAACAUCAAAGGUGGCUUUGAGCCACACAGCAUCCUCGUAGAGACACUUUGUUUCUAAGGCUCCCGUAGGCGUAGCAUCUAUUGUGGCAAUUAGCCAUUCGACUUCACCGACAGUCUCAACUGCACCUUUCGGCUGCACCUGCAGCGGUGCAAUCAACUGUGGCAUCUGGCCACUCAUUAUCAUCUGCAGCUUCGACUGCACUUUACGGCUGCACCUGCGAUCCUGGAAUCAACUGUGGCAUUUGGCCACUCAUCUUCAUCAACAGUCUCGUCUGCACCCUUCGGCUGCACCUGCAGUGCUGCAAUCAACUGUGGCAUUUGGCCAAUCAGCAUCAUCGGCAGCUUCGACUGCACUUACGUCUGCACCGGCGGUCGUGAAAUCAACUGUGGCCCUUGGCCAUCCACUACCAUCGGCAGUCUCGGCUGUACUCAUCAACUGCAUCUGCGGUCGUCGCAUCAACGGUACCAUUUGGCCACGCAUUAUCAUCGGCAGUUGCGACUGCACUUUCCGAUUGCAUCGGUGGUCGCCGAAUCAACUGUGGCAUUUGGGCCACACAUCAUCAUCGGCAGUUUCGACUGCAAUCUUCGACGGCACCUGCCAUUAUCGAAUCAACUGUGGCGUUGGGCCAUUCAUCAGCAACGGCACUACUCGACUGCAUCUGUGGUCGGCGUACCAGCGGAGGCAUCGGAAAAAUCCUUUGGGGCAUGAUGCCGGAGGCGGCGAGAGGAGGUUUGCCCACACCAAGGCGGAAGAGGAAAAGCUUCGUGGCCACUCAGUGCGCUGCAGCGCCUUCAUGGAGAAUGCCGUAAGUUAAAUAGAAUUCGAAUGAAAAUGCUAUGGGGGAUAUGUGGGUAAAAUGUUGCAAGAUUUAUAAAGAAACUCAAAUUUAAAGUUUUCGAGCGUUAUUCAUUUCGUAGCUUCGUCUACGG